rnacentral:rRNA from 1 species
CAAUAGCGUAUAUUAAAGUUGUUGCAGUUAAAAGCUCGUAGUUGGAUUUCUGGCAGGAGUGACCGGCCGCACACACUGUGUGCGAGUUGCGUCAUUCUGGCCAUCCUUGGUGAGAUCCUGUUUGGCAUUAAGUUGUCGGGCAGGGGAUAACCAUCGUUUACUGUGAAAAAUUAGAGUGUUUAAAGCAGGCUUAUGCCGUUGAAUAUAUUAGCAUGGAAUAAUAAAAUAGGACUUUGGUUCUAUUUUGUUGGUUUCUAGGACCGAAGUAAUGAUUAAUAGGGACAGUUGGGGCGAUUCAUAUUCCAAUGUCAGAGGUGAAAUUCUCAGACCAAUGGAAGACGAACCACUGCGAAAGCAUUUGCCAGGGAUGUUUUCACUGAUCAAGAACGAAAGUUAGGGGAUCGAAGACGAUCAGAU